rnacentral:rRNA from 1 species
UACAGAGGGUGCAAGCGUUAAUCGGAAUUACUGGGCGUAAAGCGUGCGCAGGCGGUGCUGUAAGACAGGCGUGAAAUCCCCGGGCUUAACCUGGGAAUGGCGCUUGUGACUGCAGUGCUGGAGUGCGGCAGAGGGGGAUGGAAUUCCGCGUGUAGCAGUGAAAUGCGUAGAUAUGCGGAGGAACACCAAUGGCGAAGGCAAUCCCCUGGGCCUGUACUGACGCUCAUGCACGAAAGCGUGGGGAGCAAACAGG